rnacentral:pre_miRNA from 1 species
AUGGUAGACCGGUGACGUGCACUUCAUUUACGAUGUAGGUCACCCGUUUCACUAUCC